rnacentral:pre_miRNA from 1 species
UCUUAUGGAUGAACAAAGGAAGUAGUUUCUUGAGACGGAAUAUAAUUCUGGUGAAGAUGUUGUGAA